UUAAAUCUUUUCUUUUCUUUUUUUUUUUUUUUUUUGAGAUAGGUAGCAUGCUAUCUGUUUCGUUUAUUUCAUUUAGAAAUAAACUUAGCUCGAAAUGUGAAUCUACUAGGAUUUGAACUUGGGCCUCGGAUACCAACCACCAAGCCCUUUGCCACUUGCUCUAGGGACGGUCGGUACAUAGAUUAAAUCUUGAGGUGGCAAAUUGAAGUUUAACUUUCGAUUAAAUCUUGAGUAUCAUUCGGACAUUUAUUGUAAGAGCAAUACUCCUACACACCAAAUAAAUUUUAACCCUUAAAUUUUUUAAAAUGGACGGUAAUGAUGCAUCUUCUAAAAAAGGGUGACUGGCUAUUGGUGCCAUCGGUACCGGUCACCCCUUAAACGAGGGCAAACAAUUUUCUCAUUACAUGGAGUUUGCACUGAGAGCGUUUUGGUAAAUUUUCAUCCCCACAGCAUAUCAUUUUUGUAAAUCCAGAAUAUUCCACCUUCCUCCAUUCUUAUCCUACAACAUUCCAUCUUUGUAUAAUUAUCUUUCCUAAAUUAGAAUUUCUUUACUAAUGCAUCAUAUUC
rnacentral:lncRNA from 1 species